GCCCAGACUGCGGGCUGCGCUUGGUCGGGCACCCCAGGCAAAAAAGAAAAAAAAAAAAGAGAAAGAAAGAGGAGGAGACAGUGAUUGCAGCCUCUCCCGGCGCAGGUGGCAGAGCCUUGCGGCUUUGGAGAGAGGUGGAGCCUUGGUGAGGUUGGGAGGACUGCCUAACUGCGAUCUUUUUCUCCAUUCUUCCUCCUGGGAACUUCUCCGCCCUGAAAGGGUAGCGUGAGCUUCAUGCCUUCGGCCGGCCGUGUUAUACUCGUUAGACCCAAUUCACCAUGAAUCCUUUGAAAGACUAGUGGAGAGUGAGAAGGGGGUUUCAAAGUCACUGGAGUAAAGGAAUUCUCCAAGCACCACCUCAUGAUUAAUUCUUGGAAAAGCCUGUUUGCGCGGCCCUUAGAAUCAUUUUGACUUCUUGUCUAAUGGUGAAGUUUUUCUCUGUAAUCCUUCUACUCUGUUUUCUAAAACCAGAACUAAAAACCUAAAAAAUUGUAAAACUUCAUGGUGUAAUUAAAACCCCUUCACCAUUUUU
rnacentral:lncRNA from 1 species